rnacentral:rRNA from 1 species
UGGCGGCAUGCUUUCACAUGCAAGUCGGACGGCAGCACGAGUACUUGUACUUGGUGGCGAGUGGCGAACGGGUGAGUAAUACAUUGGAACGUACCGAGUAGUGGGGGAUAACUAGUCGAAAGAUUAGCUAAUACCGCAUACGUCUUGAGAGAGAAAGCGGGGGAUCUUUGGACCUCGCGCUAUUUGAGCGGCCAAUGUCUGAUUAGGUAGUUGGUGGGGUAAAGGCCUACCAAGCCGACGAUCAGUAGCGGGUCUGAGAGGAUGAUCCGCCACACUGGGACUGAGACACGGCCCAGACUCCUACGGGAGGCAGCAGUGGGGAAUUUUGGACAAUGGGCGCAAGCCUGAUCCAGCCAUGCCGCGUGUCUGAAGAAGGCCUUCGGGUUGUAAAGGACUUUUGUUAGGGAAGAAAAGGCGGGUGCUAAUAUCAUCUGCUGAUGACGGUACCUGAAGAAUAAGCACCGGCUAACUACGUGCCAGCAGCCGCGGUAAU